ensembl:lncRNA NR2F2-AS1 NR2F2 antisense RNA 1
UUUUCUAAUAAUUUUUUUUUUUUUUUUUUGAGACAGAGUCUCGCUCUGUCACCCAGGCUGGAGUGUAGUGGCACGAUCUUGGCUUACUGCAACCUCUGCCUCCCAGGAUCAAGCCAUUCUCCUUCCUCAGCCUCCAGAGUAUCUGGGACUACAGGCACACGCCAUCAUGCCCAGCUAAUUUUUGUAUUUUUAGUAGAGAUGGAGAUUUCACUAUGCUGGCUAGGCUGGUCAUCUUGAAUUCCUGACCUCAAGUGGUCCACCUGCCUGGGCCUCCCAAAGUGCUAGGAUUCCCAGCAUGAGCCACCGCACCUGGCCUGUAUCUCUAAUAAUUUAAAUACUGAUGCAGUUUCUUCAGAGUGUUGUCUACACCUGGAAAACUGAGGUCGGUAAAGUAAGCAAGUAUAAUGCAUAAUUUAGUUUCAAUGUUUUCAUUAAUAUGAUACCAUACCAUUGUGAACACUUGUAUUUGGUUGCAUGGCUAACAACUACCUUUUGGAUUUUUCAUGUUAGAAUGAAAAAAAUGCAUGGCAUACAUCACCAAGAAUCAAAGGUUGUGCCUGGCAGUGUAAUUGACUAUGUAAUAAAGAGAGAAGCUUUGCUAGGUGAGUGGACAGCAUAAUGAGAGGCUUUGUUCACAUCUGCAGAAAUGCAUUUUCGUUAAACACCUGUGUUAAGCACAAGCACAUAAGGCACAGUGAUAGAUGGAUGUAAAACAUGGGUAGAUGAUGUCCUUGUAUGAGAUUCUACAAAGACUCCGAUGUGUUGAGGUUUGGAAGCAUUCAGGCAGCCUCCUGGCACUAUUGGCUAUGCUGCUAAUGAGAUUACAGGCAGGGCAUGAUUUCAUUCCAUGUAAUAUUUUUGUCAUUAGGAAGAGGCAAGUUAUUUUUACCUGUCAAUUUCUGUUUUUUGAAAUUGAAAAAUUCUCAGGUACGAAUCCCAAAAGACUUUACAUGCAACCUCCAUGUCCUAUUCAGGACUGUUCAAGGAGAAGACAGAAACACCAUGUUUAGAGGUCAUUGGUCCAUCUACUCUAGAAACUUCCCCUUGGCAGUGGUCCCUGCCUAUGUUACAGAAGACGGCAAAAAUACGAGCCAUCGUGCAUCUGGCCAGUUCUGCAAUGCUCUAUCCCAGGGGGAAAUUCCUUCCUCACUCCAGCUGGUGAACAGCUAUGCCCUGGAGCCCAGGACGGACAUGCCUUGUAACUUUUUAACUUAGUUAGUGUAACUACCAAUAUUAUUCCUAUUCAUAUAAAUGUCUAAUCCUUUCUUGAAUCUUGCUAGACUAUUUGCCUCAAUAAUAUCCUGCGGCACUGAAUUCCACAGGUAGAUUAUACGCUGCUUUAAAAAGUAUUUCCUUUUCUUGGUUUUAAAUUUGUUGCUUUUUAAUGUCACAAAAUAGCCCUUGUUCUUGCAUUAAGUGGCACAGGAUAGAAGCAUUACAAAUGGACCCUUAUUUCUUCCAAGCAGUUUCUUCACUAAUAUUAAAACCCUAUUUUCUUCAUAUAUUUUCUAUUUUGGCAUAUAUAAUCUUGAUUUAAUGAAAUGAUUUAUGUAAUUAGUCUCACACUAUUUUAUGAACAUAGUAGGCACUGGUAAAAAGCUUUCCUUGGCAUUCAGUGUCAUUUAUUGGACAAAUAUUUAUUGAGCAUCUAUUAUGUGCAAGAACUGUUCUAAUUUUGGAGAGUCAGCUUCACAUAAGACUGGGUCAUUUUUCUGAAGGACUUACUUUUCUAGAGAAGGAGAUAAGCAGUAAUAUAGUGAAUAAAUCUAUGAACCUCAUGGUUUCAGAUGGUAUUAAGUAUUACGGGAAGAUUGAAAGGUGGCUGGAGCCGAUUUGCAUUGCACAGUCAGGGAGUGGCUCUCUGAAAAGAGGACAGUUGCCAUCAGCUGUCAAGGAGCCCCUUAUGUGAAAUCUCCAUGAAGGUGAACUCCAGCUCCGAAACAAUGCCCAGUAGUUGUUGAGGCUCAAUCAUUAUUUGUUGAGUGCAUAAAUGAAUUAAGGUUGAGAAGGAAAGCCUUAGUUACUAAAAUCACCAGGAAUUUACUCAGUGGAUUCAGGGGGAUCAUUUCUUGAAUCCCCGUGUUCUGUAACUCCCAACACUGUGGGAAUAAACAAAGCAGGGGCUGUAGUUAGUUAGACUGGGUUUCAAGACCUGACCAUGGUCCCCAGCUUACCAGCUGUGUGUCCUUGGGCAAGUUACCUAAUUGCUCUCAUCCACAGAACCCUCCUUUAUAAAAAUGAGAGUAAACUUUCUUCCUUCAUGGGAGUUGGAGGUUUGAAGGCAAAGUUAACGUGGAAGUUCUUUUUAAACUGCCAAAUGGUGUAGAGGUGUGGUUAUUCUUGAGGGAACCAGCUGUUCCCAGUGUCAGGCUCUGCUCUUUCAUUUUUCCCUCGUUCCCUUCCUCAUGUUCUGCUUCCUUCCAUUCCCUAGUUUAUCCCUGCCCCUGCCUAAAGCCCACCAGGGCAUCCAUGGGACUUAGCUUUCUGUCCCGGAGGUGGCUCAAGCAGGGUGGACAUACCUUUCUGAAAUUCUUAUCUAUGUCUUAGGAACUUUUACAGUGGAGCUGUUGUGUAUUGAUGCAGCGGACUGGAUGUGGCUUUCGAAUAGUGAUUGUCUGCUUUUAUUUUGUUUACUGCUUAAUCUGCUGGGGUCAAGUUACCGAAACUUCUACGUAUAAAGACAGUCCUUGCCUGAAUUUCCGAGGGAAUCUUGCCCCAGAAAUCAAGCCUUUGGUUGCAACGGGCUGCCUGGCUGCCUUCGGCUUCCCUCUGUGUUCCAGCCUGACUGGCAUAUGCAUACACUGUUUCCUCAUGUUGCCUCUUGUUAUUCUUUUUAAUUGUCCCUUAAUGUACGUUUUUUUUUUCGUUUAGGCAAUUUGAAAUAGAGCAUGUGCAGCUCUGCAUAAUAAUAUAUGAUAGGAAACAUUUCAAGGAAUAAAUUAUUAGAAUUGUUUACAUGCAUGGUUCAAAUUUACUGGCAAAUUGCUUAGGCCUCAGUUUUAUGAUGUAGCUGCCAGCUAGGCUCCUUCAGGGUGAAACUCUGAAAUAGGAGAAGCUGCCCAGCGCUGUCCCUUCCCAGCACUUCCUCUCCUUGUUCCUGCCCUUUCAACACCUCCCUCCUUUCCCGCCCCCAAAUAACUCUGUGGAGCUGCCAGGCCUUUUGCACCUUAAUGUGAAGACAUUUCGUGGGUCCUCCCCGGACCCGCCCCCAGCAAAGGUGAGGUGCGCAAAGGAAUAAAUCUCCAAUGGUGUAAUUUUAGACACUGUGGCAACUGGGCAGCGCGGCUAUUUUUGGCCAUGGGGCUUUCUCCUUGACCUGAGAUGAUAUUGCCUGGCUGCUGCCAGUGCACCCGGCCAACCCUGCACGCGGUCCUUUUCGCAACGUGUUUGCCAUUCCUGGGGGCUGGCUUCUUCCUCUUUCUGUCAAGCAGCUCUGUGCUCAUGCACGAUGCUGUGUGUUUGAGCAAGGGUGUGAAGCGGUCGACGCGUGCCCACCUAGGCUUGCCCCAGGGUGACACUCUCAGGCAGUGGUCAGGCCACCUCUGAGGGGCAACGCAGAUGGAACAGACGUCCUUUCACAUUGGGGGUGGGGGAAGAUUUCCGGUCCAGUUUCUGGGUCUCCCUCAGCCUCCAUACUUGAUCAGCUGCUCAGCGACCAUUCUAUGAGUCACUCCUUCUCUGGGUAAGGCGAGCCAGGCAGCCUCCAGGCCACAGGGUUCAUGCAUUCCCGCCCACACUGCUUCAUUUGAAGCCGCAUCCUCACAGAGAUUCUUCUGACCACCCGGCUUGCUGUCUUCCCACUCAAGCUCCUCAUGCAGCUGCUGUCUACAGACCCCCUGGACUGCCUGGGGAAGUGAGUCGGAGCUCCUGCAGCAGAGGGGUGGAACAGCUACACGAAGAUCCGAAGGUGGCCAAAAAUAACAGCGCUUUCCAGAUGAGGGUAAUGUUAUAGCCAAGAUCAUCGCUGGGGUAGGGUGUCUUGUUCUUUGUUUUACAACCUAAAAAGUACACAGAAGACUCAAAGAUCAUUCAGGAAGGAGGAAUCAAGUCAGUACAGAACAGAGAAAUGGGAGCAGUUAAAAACAAAGGAAUUGAGUUUCUUUAUGCCAAAAGAGAGAAAACAGAGGCCUUUUAUAGAUAGAGAGAGAGCCCUGGCUAUCUGGAUGGAAGAUCUGUUUUCUCCAGCUUCCAUGGCCGC